UACGUAGGGGGGCAAGCGUUUGUCCGGAUUUAUUGGGCGUAAAGAGCGUGUAGGCGGCCAUACAGGUCCGUUGUGAAAACUGGAGGCUUAACCUCCAGACGUCGAUGGAAACCGUGUGGCUAGAGUCCGGAAGAGGAGAGUGGAAUUCCUGGUGUAGCGGUGAAAUGCGCAGAUAUCAGGAGGAACACCGGUGGCGAAGGCGGAUCUCUGGGCCUGUCCUGACGCUCAGGCGCGAAAGCUAGGGGAGCAAACAGG
rnacentral:rRNA from 1 species